rnacentral:rRNA from 1 species
UACGGAGGGUGCGAGCGUUAUCCGGAUUCACUGGGUUUAAAGGGAGCGUAGGCGGGCAUGUAAGUCAGUGGUGAAAUCUUGGGGCUCAACCCCGAAACUGCCAUUGAUACUAUGUGCCUUGAAUGUCGUUGAGGUUUGCGGAAUAUGUCAUGUAGCGGUGAAAUGCUUAGAUAUGACAUAGAACACCGAUUGCGAAGGCAGCAGGCUAAACGAAUAUUGACGCUGAGGCUCGAAAGCGUGGGGAUCAAACAGG